CGCCCGUCACACCAUGAGAGUUGAUAAUACCAGAAGUCGGUAUUCUAACCGUAAGGAGGAAGCCGCCCAAGGUAGGAUUGAUGAUUAGGGUGAAGUCGUAACAAGGUAUCCGUACGAGAACGUGCGGAUGGAUCACCUCCUUUCUAUGGAGUUAUUACUUUAUAGUAAUUUAAUUAGUUUUAAUGACCGUUAUGUUUAGUUUUCAGAGGUUAGUUUCUCUGACAAUAACAAGAAAAAUGUUAUUGAAAUUGUUCUUUGAAAACUGGAUAAUAGACAUCUAGUUAUUUUAAUCAUAUGAUUAAAAUAACAAUAAUUCAAAAUUUCUGUUAUUUUUAAAAAAAUAACUAAAAUUUCACAGUUAUAUUUGUAAAUGAUUCUCAAAACUGAUUUAAAAUCAGGUCAAAUAAUUAAAUUAAUAAAACUUUGAAGUUACAAAGGGCGUAUGGUGAAUGCCUUGGGAAUAGGAGACGAUGAAGGACGUGACUACCUGCGAUAAGGUUCGGGGAGCUGGAAGUAAGCUUUGAUCCGGACAUGUCCGAAUGGGGAAACCCGGUGAGAUUAAUCUCUCAUCAUCCUAUAAUGAAUAAAUAGUUAUAGUGAAGGUAUACCUAGGGAAUUGAAACAUCUCAGUACCUAGAGGAAAAGAAAGCGAAUGCGAUUCUCUUAGUAGCGGCGAGCGAACGGGGAACAGCCCAAACCAGAUUUAUCUGGGGUUGUAGGACCAUAUGAGUAGAGUUACAAAACUUGUUUAUAGUAGAAAUGGUUGGGAAACCAUGCCACAGAGGGUGAUAGCCCCGUAUACGAAAUGAACAAGACUCGAAAUGGAAUCCUGAGUACGGCGAGACACGUGAAAUCUUGUCGGAAUCAACGCGGACCACCGCGUAAGGCUAAAUACUACCUAUUCACCGAUAGUGAACCA
rnacentral:sRNA from 1 species